rnacentral:rRNA from 1 species
GAUGAACGCUGGCGGCGUGCCUAAUACAUGCAAGUCGAGCGAACAGACGAGGAGCUUGCUCCUCUGACGUUAGCGGCGGACGGGUGAGUAACACGUGGAUAACCUACCUAUAAGACUGGGAUAACUUCGGGAAACCGGAGCUAAUACCGGAUAAUAUAUUGAACGGCAUGGUUCAAUAGUGAACGACGGUUUUGCUGUCACUUAUAGAGGGAUCCGCGCCGCAUUAGCUAGUUGGUAAGGUAACGGCUUACCAAGGCAACGAUGCGUAGCCGACCUGAGAGGGUGAUCGGCCACACUGGAACUGAGACACGGUCCAGACUCCUACGGGAGGCAGCAGUAGGGAAUCUUCCGCAAUGGGCGAAAGCCUGACGGAGCAACGCCGCGUGAGUGAUGAAGGUCUUCGGAUCGUAAAACUCUGUUAUUAGGGAAGAACAAAUGUGUAAGUAACUAUGCACGUCUUGACGGUACCUAAUCAGAAAGCCACGGCUAACUACGUG